rnacentral:rRNA from 1 species
AUUGAACGCUGGCGGCAGGCCUCACACAUGCAAGUCGAACGAGUGGCGGACGGGUGAGUAAUGUCUGGGAAACUGCCUGAUGGAGGGGGAUAACUACUGGAAACGGUAGCUAAUACCGCAUACCAUCGGAUGUGCCCAGAUGGGAUUAGCUUGUAGGUGAGGUAACGGCUCACCUAGGCGACGAUCCCUAGCUGGUCUGAGAGGAUGACCGGCCACAAUGGAACUGAGAAACGGGCCAGACGCCGACGGUAGGCAGAAGUGGGGAAUAUUGCACAAUGGGCGCAAGCCUGAUGCAGCCAUGCCGAGUGUAUGAAGAAGGCCUUCGGGUUGGAAAGUACUUUCAGCGGGGAGGCGUUACCCGCAGAAGAAGCACCGGCUAACUCCGUGCCAGCAGCCGCGGUAAUAC